AUUGAACGCUGGCGGCAGGCCUAACACAUGCAAGUCGAGCGAGCGGCGGACGGGUGAGUAAUGUAUGGGGAUCUGCCCGAUAGAGGGGAUAACUAAUGGAAACGGUGGCUAAUACCGCCUACCAUCGGAUUAAACCAUAUGGGAUUGGCUAGUUGGUGGGGUAAAGGCUUACCUAGGCGACGAUCUCUAGCUGGUCUGAGAGGAUGAUCAGCCACACUGGGACUGAGACACGGCCCAGACUCCUACGGGAGGCAGCAGUGGGGAAUAUUGCACAAUGGGCGCAAGCCUGAUGCAGCCAUGCCGCGUGUAUGAAGAAGGCCUUAGGGUUGUAAAGUACUUUCAGCGGGGAGGCGUUACCCGCAGAAGAAGCACCGGCUAACUCCGUGCCAGCCGCCGCGGUAAUAC
rnacentral:rRNA from 1 species